rnacentral:pre_miRNA from 1 species
UAUCUACUCCCUCCGUCCGAAAAUACUUGUCAUCAAAAUGGAUAAAAAGAGAUGUAUCUAGAACUAAAAUACGUCUAGAUACAUCCCCUUUUAUCCAUUUUGAUGACAAGUAUUUCUGGACGGAGGGAGUAUCUG